rnacentral:lncRNA from 10 species
GAUUUAGUCUUACUAAAGACGUGGGAGGAAGUUCUCCAGCUGAGCAGCUUUCCCCAACGUGGAAGGGACCACGCAAGGACACCUGAGUUCUCCAACAGACGUUCAACGCCAGGGGAGUCACAGGUGGGUGCACCUGUGUGGAAGUAAAGCUGUUGCUUAUUCUGGGAGCCCAAUCCUAGGCUGAGGGAGGUGGGCGCGGGGCUGUUUAAGCGUUGGCGGAGGCCGGGCUGGGUCGCUGUGCGUCUGCUCCUCCUUCUCGCGCUUCUCCUGCCGCCCUAAUCCUGCCUUGGCC